rnacentral:rRNA from 1 species
UACGUAGGGUGCGAGCGUUAAUCGGAAUUACUGGGCGUAAAGCGUGCGCAGGCGGCGCGUUAAGACAGGUGUGAAAGCCCCCGAGCUUAACUUGGGAAUUGCGCUUGUGACUGGCGUGCUGGAGUGUGGCAGAGGGAGGUGGAAUUCCACGUGUAGCAGUGAAAAUGCGUAGAGAUGUGGAGGAACACCGAUGGCGAAGGCAGC